rnacentral:rRNA from 1 species
AGGGUGCCGGCGGGGGCGGAGCCCGGGGUUUAAUUUGACCCAACACGGGAAAACUCACCCGGCCCGGACACCGGCAGGAAAGACAGAUUGAGAGGUCUUUCUUAAUUUGGUGGGAGGUGGGGCAGGGGCGUUCUCAUUUGGGGGAAAGAUUUGUUUGGUUAUUUCUCAAAACAAUUGAGAUUAUGGCCUAGUAAAUAGACGGCGAAUCCAGAAGUAUACCGCGCUUAUUAUUGGGAAAGGGGGCGGCUAGCCUCGAGACCAACCCCAAUUACAUGUCUGUGCUGCCGUUCGAUGUCCUGGUGGGCACCCGCGGUCGGUCGUGAGAAUUAGCGCGCGAUUCAACGGGCUCGUAUGAGCCGGUCCGAUUUGUUAAUUCUCUGGAGUUGGGAUGGGAACUGCGUAAUUUCCUUUAUUCUCCAAGAACCCAGAAUUGCGGUUAAUAAGAUCGCGCAGAUUACGUUCUGACGUCUGUACACUUUGCCCCGUCGGCCCGUCGAGGGAGGACUGAGUGAGUUCGAG